AGCUUUGCGCAGUGGCAGUAUCAUAGCCAAUGAGGUUUAUCCGAGGCGCGAUUAUUGCUAAUAUAUUUUUAGCAAAAAGUAUAGAUAUUCACACUAGUUUGGAUAAAGAAAGAAUGUAAAUAGCCUUUUGUAAGUACACAUUUGGU